GGAGGACACAAUGAGAAGUCAGCAGUCCUCAACCUAGAAGAAGGCUCUCACUAGAAGUUGGCUGUGCUGGAAUCUGGAUCUUGGAUUUCCAGCCUCUAGAACUUUCUCUGGUCCAGACUGCAGCAGAGAGUCACACACAAAAUCUGAGUAUCAGACGUCCCCAACUUUUAACUAAACAAAAUCACCCCUGACGUAACAGGGACAAACCCUGUCCAGAUGUUUGCUGCUGCUUCGUGUCCCACCU
rnacentral:lncRNA from 1 species